AUUGAACGCUGGCGGCAGGCCUAACACAUGCAAGUCGAACGGUAACAGGAAGCAGCUUGCUGCUUCGCUGACGAGUGGCGGACGGGUGAGUAAUGUCUGGGAAGCUGCCUGAUGGAGGGGGAUAACUACUGGAAACGGUAGCUAAUACCGCAUAAUGUCGCAAGACCAAAGAGGGGGACCUUCGGGCCUCUUGCCAUCGGAUGUGCCCAGAUGGGAUUAGCUUGUUGGUGGGGUAACGGCUCACCAAGGCGACGAUCCCUAGCUGGUCUGAGAGGAUGACCAGCCACAAUGGAACUGAGACACGGUCCAGACUCCUACGGGAGGCAGCAGUGGGGAAUAUUGCACAAUGGGCGCAAGCCUGAUGCAGCCAUGCCGCGUGUAUGAAGAAGGCCUUCGGGUUGUAAAGUACUUUCAGCGGGGAGGAAGGGAGUAAAGUUAAUACCUUUGCUCAUUGACGUUACCCGCAGAAGAAGCACCGGCUAACUCCGU
rnacentral:rRNA from 1 species